rnacentral:rRNA from 1 species
CUACGGGGGGCUCCAGUGAGGAAUAUUGCACAAUGGAGGAAACUCUGAUGCAGCAACGCCGCGUGGAGGAUGACGCAUUUCGGUGUGUAAACUCCUUUUAUAUGUCAAGAAAAUGACGGUAGCAUAUGAAUAAGCACCGGCUAACUCCGUGCCAGCAGCCGCGGUAAUACGGAGGGUGCAAGCGUUACUCGGAAUCACUGGGCGUAAAGGACGCGUAGGCGGGAUAUCAAGUCAGGUGUGAAAUCCUACAGCUUAACUGUAGAACUGCACUUGAAACUGGUAACCUAGAGUAUGGGAGGGGGAGAUGGAAUUAGUGGUGUAGGGGUAAAAUCCGUAGAUAUCACUAGGAAUACCUAAAGCGAAGGCGAUCUCCUGGAACAUUACUGACGCUAAGGCGUGAAAGCGUGGGGAGCAAACAGGAUUAGAUACCCUAGUAGUC